rfam:Oryza barthii chromosome 3, whole genome shotgun sequence.
AAUAAGCGCAGUCAUAAGUUUCCGUGUCUAAUUUUAAUCGUCCGUCUUGUUUGAAAUAUUUUUAUGAUUAGUAUUUUUAUUACUACUAGAAUAUAAAACAUGAAUAGUAUUUUAUCUGUGAUUUAUAUUUUUUUAGUUUUUUUAAAACAAUUUGAAAUAAGAUGGACGAUUAAAGUUAGACACGAAAAAUCAUGUAUGCAUUUAUU